rnacentral:rRNA from 1 species
UACGUAGGGUGCAAGCGUUGUCCGGAAUUAUUGGGCGUAAAGAGCUCGUAGGCGGUCUGUCGCGUCUGCUGUGAAAACUCGGGGCUUAACCCCGGGCCUGCAGUGGGUACGGGCAGACUAGAGUGCGGUAGGGGAGACUGGAAUUCCUGGUGUAGCGGUGAAAUGCGCAGAUAUCAGGAGGAACACCGGUGGCGAAGGCGGGUCUCUGGGCCGUAACUGACGCUGGAGGAGCGGAAAGCGUGGGGAGCGAACAGG